rnacentral:rRNA from 1 species
UCAGGAUGAACGCUGGCGGCGUGCUUAACACAUGCAAGUCGAACGGUGAACACGGAGCUUGCUCUGUGGGAUCAGUGGCGAACGGGUGAGUAACACGUGAGCAACCUGCCCCUGACUCUGGGAUAAGCGCUGGAAACGGCGUCUAAUACUGGAUACGAGUAGCGACCGCAUGGUCAGUUACUGGAAAGAUUUAUUGGUUGGGGAUGGGCUCGCGGCCUAUCAGCUUGUUGGUGAGGUAAUGGCUCACCAAGGCGUCGACGGGUAGCCGGCCUGAGAGGGUGACCGGCCACACUGGGACUGAGACACGGCCCAGACUCCUACGGGAGGCAGCAGUGGGGAAUAUUGCACAAUGGGCGCAAGCCUGAUGCAGCAACGCCGCGUGAGGGAUGACGGCCUUCGGGUUGUAAACCUCUUUUAGCAGGGAAGAAGCGAAAGU